GAUGAACGCUGGCGGUAUGCUUUAUACAUGCAAGUCGUACGAGAAUUUUUAAUUUAAGUGGCGGACGGGUGAGUAACACGUAAGAAUUUACCUUUAGGAGGGGGAUAACAAUUGGAAACGAUUGCUAAUACCCCAUAUGCUUUAAAUAAAAUGUUUAAGUGAAAUGGGAUUCCGCCUAAAGAAAAGCUUGCGGCUGAUUAGCUUGUUGGUAAGGUAAAAGCUUACCAAGGCGACGAUCAGUAUCUGGUUUGAGAGGACGAUCAGACACACUGGAACUGAGACACGGUCCAGACUUCUACGGGAGGCAGCAGUAGGGAAUUUUCCGCAAUGGGCGAAAGCCUGACGGAGCAAUACCGCGUAAGGGAAAUGACGGCUUACGAGUUGUAAAACCUUUUUUUUCUA
rnacentral:rRNA from 1 species